GUGCUGGUGAAGUCCUUGUCUGACCUGGUCAACUAUUGUUGGACUUGCACCUCUCUGGGAGUACAAAGUGGAACUGACUGACCAGUACAAGGCUGUGGAGGGGAGGGAAAGGGGCUGGUCCUGCCCCAAGUCUUCUGCCUUGCUGUGCCCUUCCCUGCUGCUGCUCCUCUCCAGGAGCUGUGUCACCACCUGCAGUCACUGGGACCGUCCCUGGCACCUCUGCAUCAGCUCCAGUGCUGAGCCUGCAUCCCACCUGCAAAGAUGCUGCAAAGGCAAUAACUCUGAAGCGUCACAGCUGCAGAUUCGUAUCGCGCAGGAUGCCUGGAGCUGCUCGUAGUGCUCCAGCCUGCACAGGGGGAUGCUUGGAUGGAGGCAGAGCACAUGGCAGGUCCGGACCCGCGUGGAUGGCCGGUGUCCUGCUCUGAUGGGAGCAGCAUCCUAAACAAACACAGCAUCUCCCUCCUGGGAAUGAUUUUCCUGGGAGUUAUGGCUGCAGAUGUGUUAUUUUGCUUUUUGAUCUGCCUGCCUCCCAGGAAAAACUCCAUUUCAUUGAUCAGACGAUUUCAAGCUCAUUGCAGGACUGCUAAUGACCAAGCCGUACCAGCAAUAUUUUAACCUCUGCGUUUUCUCCGAGCGUUCAGUGUCAGCAUUAUAAAGUACCACUUACAGUAUAAGCACAGGCAGUCAAUUGUUUUAAUCUUUAUUGCAUCUGGACGUGCAGCAGCUACUCCCGAGCAAAAACACUGCGCCUGAUACUCAGCAGAGUGGGGUUGGUUGGGAAAUGCCAUCCCACCACUUUGGGAAACCGUCCCACCACUGCCCACCCAGUUCCCCUAGAAAUUGGUUGCUAUUCGUGUGAUUUAUACCCCUGUGCAGACAAGGUCCAGGAUCAGCGCCCGCGGCAGCCUCUCGCAGGUGAGGGACAGAUACGGGCAAAGCUGUGGGUUCACCCUGUGCCCCCCCAAACACUCAGCUGGGGGGCCGAGCACCUCCCCACCACGACUCCGUGGAUGAUCUCUGGCCAUCACAGGAGCAGGAGGAGCUGCCCGCAAGCAAAACCAGCCCCAUCUCGUCACUGCUACUCCCCCAUGCUAAUCCUCUGCAAAAAAAAGGUGCCUGGUUCAACCCUCCACGGCACACGCACGAGUCUAUUUUUAACUUGGGCAUUAAAACAACAAGGAAUGAGUUCGUCAAGUGGAGUUUGAGACGGGCAAGACGUCAAGGCAGAGGCAGCGUUUGUGAAACCCAGCGGGCUCAGCCAGGGUCGGCGUUGGCUGGAGCGGGAUUUUUCCCUUGUUUUGUGGCUUAGUCAUAGGUUCGUUUAUUUUUUAGAGGUUUUUAUUAUUAUUAUUAUUCAUCUUUUGUGAUCACAGCAGACACAUCAUUUCACAGCCCUACAUGGAAAUCCAAGACCAAGGAACUAUUUUUAGUACACAAAAUGUCUCCCCUAAAUGUAUUAACUUUGGAAGAGUAAAUAUUAAAUACACUCUCAUCACAUUAGAGGCGUUUACGCAGAAGUACAGCAGCAGCGUUUUUAAUGGUUAGGGGAAAUUAUGUUAUGCCACUAGCACUUAAUCAAACACAAUAAAAAGAGAUCUUACUGCAAUUCUUUCAGGAUAAGUUGAAGGGAAAUGAAUUCAUUUUCACAUCCGUUGACGGUGAUUUACUGACACUGGGGCAUAUUUGCCCCAUUAGUAUUUAUGGUGGCACUUGCAAUCCUUAUGCAAAACAUACAGAGGAUAGCCUAACAUUUAUUUUGCAAUUAAACUGAAAUGAUUCUUCGCUUGCUCGCUCCCGAUCGAGGCAUUCAGCACCAUCUGUGAUGAGGGUACUAUAGGCAAACCCCAAGCAGGCAUCACAGGGAAACCCUGUGUGCUGUAGGUGCCUAUAAAUAUGUAUUUUUGAAUAAGAAUGGCUUUUUGUAACUCUAUUGGGGAAGUAUUUCUCAGGCUGGGCUGUCGGAGAAGGACGAUGUAGUGCUGCUGUCCCCGCUCUGUUGGGUGCCUGGAAAAACAGCAGUGACCCUCGGGGACCGGCACCGGUGGCUCUCGCCUGGUGAUGGUGAUGGGCAGCGGGGGUACUGCCUGGGUUUGGGUCCUGCACCUCGCUCCUGCAUGAACCAGCUGGUGGUUUAGAAGGUGUUUUUUUAAAAACAGAAGGAAGCCAGAAAUAUGGAGCCAAGCUCUUGUUGGUGGGUUGGUUUCAUUGUCGGCUCAGCUAUUGUCUCUCAUACGGGCUCUCUGGGAAAGGAGGGAUGUACGGAGACGACACAGUCUCUUUAGAUGCCCCAAAUUUUCUUCUCUCUUCCUUUGCUUCCAGGUGUUUGGGCUCCAUUUCCCAUGCCCAUUCCCAUGAUACAUCUAGCCAGCCCAUCCCAGCCACCUCUGCUCUAAUACAGGUGCCAGAGGCUGGGAUGCAUCUUCCCAGGAAUUUGCCUAGUUCCAUGAGGGUCAGAUAUUUUGGAGACAAAAUCCUUGCCGGUUCGUAAGGACAUUGCCCCAUGUUGCCCAGCAUCAGACCUCCCAGGCCCGGCUGUGCUGUGUGUCACCCCCCACCUUGGACAUUUGGGGAAUAUCGCAGGGCCAGGGGCAUCGCCAGGGCUUGAGGGUAAAUCAGGGGAGUCAAACCAAAGGGGUUUUUCUCAAACCAGGAGCACGGCAGGCUGGCCUCGCUCCCUGCCUUAGGAAAUUGAACUCUUCAGUAUCUCCCUGCCUAGAAGAGGUGAAAAACUUACUACAGAAGAUGACUCUUGAACUGGCUCUGGAUAGAUGGGUUCAUGCACGAGGCUGAGGGCAUCGCACCUGUGGACCGGCCAAGAGUUUGAGUUCAUCGUUGGGGUGCCUCAGGCACUGUGAACAGUAACGCAGCCCAGUAAUAAAAUCCUUAGUUUGCAAUAAA